rnacentral:rRNA from 1 species
UGGGACUUGCUCCCUGAUGUUACGGCGGACGGGUGAGUAACACGUGGGUAACCUGCCUGUAAGACUGGGAUAACUCCGGGAAACCGGGGCUAAUACCGGAUGCUUGUUUGAACCGCAUGGUUCAAACAUAAAAGGUGGCUUCGGCUACCACUUACAGAUGGACCCGCGGCGCAUUAGCUAGUUGGUGAGGUAACGGCUCACCAAGGCAACGAUGCGUAGCCGACCUGAGAGGGUGAUCGGCCACACUGGGACUGAGACACGGCCCAGACUCCUACGGGAGGCAGCAGUAGGGAAUCUUCCGCAAUGGACGAAAGUCUGACGGAGCAACGCCGCGUGAGUGAUGAAGGUUUUCGGAUCGUAAAGCUCUGUUGUUAGGGAAGAACAAGUACCGUUCGAAUAGGGCGGUACCUUGACGGUACCUAACCAGAAAGCCACGGCUAACUACGUGCCAGCAGCCGCGNAAUACGA